GACGAACGCUGGCGGCGUGCCUAAUACAUGCAAGUCGAACGCAGUGGGGGCGGGUGCGUAACACGUGGGUAACCUCCCAUCAGAGGGGAUAACACUUGGAAACAGGUGCUAAACCGAUACUGAUGGAUGGACCAGCGGUGCAUUAGCUAGUUGGUGAGGUAACGGCUCACCAAGGCCACGAUGCAUCGCCGACCGUAGAGGGGUAUCGGCAACACUGGGAUUGAGAACCGGCCCAGAGCCCUCCGGGAGGCAGCAGUAGGGAAUCUUCGGAAAUGGACGAAAGUCGGACCGAGCAACGCCGCGUGAGGGAAGAGGUUUUUCGGAUCGUAAAACUUGGUUGUUAGAGAAGCGGUAUCUAACCAGAAAGCCACGGCUAACUACGUGCCAGCAGCCGCGGUAAUUC
rnacentral:rRNA from 1 species